CUUUGUCUUUAUGGCAAAUGUGAGAUGCAGUGUAUGGAAUGUCAAAUUUCUAGUAUGAGAAAUUAACGAUUUAAGUCCUUCUUAAAUGAGGCCAUUUACCCAUAGAGGGUGCCAGGCCCGUAUAACGUUAAUGAUUACUAGAUGGCAUUUCCAAAGAGUCGUGUUGCUUGAUAGUGCAGCACUAAGUGGGUGGUAAACUCCAUCUAAAACUAAAUAUAACCAUGAGACCGAUAGUAAACAAGUACCGUGAGGGAAAGUUGAAAAGAACUCUGAAUAGAGAGUUAAAUAGUACGUGAAACUGCUUAGAGGUUAAGCCCGAUGAACCUGAAUAUCCAUUAUAGAAAAUUCAUCAUUAUGAUUUUAAUAUUAAUAAUAUUAUAAUAAUGGUGUGCAUUUUUUCUAUAACGGACAUUGUAAUCUAUUAACAUAAAUAUAUUUAUCAUAAGAUCAAUGAUGCGUAAGUUUAUUCAAAUUAUUUUGCUUGCAAUUUAACAUAGAAUAAAUGCUCUUGAUUUGAUAAAGUGUUGAUAGAUUUAUUGUAUAUAGUGCUUAAAUAUUUAUAUUUUAUAAUAGCAUAUUAAUCAUUGAUUUUUAUGUUUAUUAUAUGCACUUAUAUGAUUAACAAUGCGAAAGAUUCAGGAUACCUUCGGGACCCGUCUUGAAACACGGACCAAGGAGUCUAACAUAUUUGCAAGUUAUUGGGUAUCAAAACCUAAUAGCGAAAUUAACAUAACUUUAAUGGGAUUAGUUUUUAGAUUAUUUAUAGUCUAUUAAUUCAAUCCCGGGGCGUUCUAUACAGUUAUGUAUAAUAAUAUUUAUAUUAUUUAUACCUCUAACUAGAGCGUACCUUGAGCAUAUAUGCUGUGACCCGAAAGAUGGUGAACUAUACUUGAUCAGGUUGAAGUCAGGGGAAACCCUGAUGGAAGACCGAAACAGUUCUGACGUGCAAAUCGA
rnacentral:rRNA from 1 species